rnacentral:rRNA from 1 species
GAUGAACGCUGGCGGCGUGCUUAACACAUGCAAGUCGAACGAUGAAGCCCAGCUUGCUGGGUGGAUUAGUGGCGAACGGGUGAGUAACACGUGAGUAACCUGCCCUUAACUCUGGGAUAAGCCUGGGAAACUGGGUCUACUACCGGAUAGGAGCGUCCACCGCAUGGUGGGUGUUGGAAAGAUUUAUCGGUUUUGGAUGGACUCGCGGCCUAUCAGCUUGUUGGUGAGGUAAUGGCUCACCAAGGCGACGACGGGUAGCCGGCCUGAGAGGGUGACCGGCCACACUGGGACUGAGACACGGCCCAGACUCCUACGGGAGGCAGCAGUGGGGAAUAUUGCACAAUGGGCGAAAGCCUGAUGCAGCGACGCCGCGUGAGGGAUGACGGCCUUCGGGUUGUAAACCUCUUUCAGUAGGGAAGAAGCGAAAGUGACGGUACCUGCAGAAGAAGCACCGGCUAACUACGUG